rnacentral:rRNA from 1 species
AUUCCCCUAGUAACUGCGAGUGAAGCGGGAAAAGCUCAAAUUUAAAAUCUGGUGGCCUUUCUGCCAUCCGAGUUGUAAUUUAGAGAAGCGUCUUCCGCGCUGGACCGUGCAUAAGUCUCCUGGAAUGGAGCGUCAUAGAGGGUGAGAAUCCCGUCUUUGGCANGGACCCCAGGGCUUCUGUGAUGCGCUCUCGAAGAGUCGAGUUGUUUGGGAAUGCAGCUCAAAAUGGGUGGUGAACUCCAUCUAAAGCUAAAUAUUGGCGAGAGACCGAUAGCGAACAAGUACCGUGAGGGAAAGAUGAAAAGCACUUUGGAAAGAGAGUGAAACAGUACGUGAAAUUGUUGAAAGGGAAACGCUUGAAGUCAGUCGCGUCGACCGAGACUCAGCCUUGCCUCUGCUUGGUGUACUUCUCGGCUGACGGGUCAGCAUCGAUUUCGACCCUUAGAUAAUGGUGGAGGAAAGGUGGCACCUUCACGGGUGUGUUAUAGUCUUCUAUCGGAUGUGGGGGUUGGGAUCGAGGAACUCAGCAUGCGCCUCUUGGUGUCGGGGCCUUGGCCCACGUCUACAUGCUUAGGAUGCUGGCGUAAUGGCUUUAAACGACCCGUCUUGAAACACGGACCAAGGAGUCUAACAUACCCGCGAGUGUUCGGGUGGAAAACCCGUGCGCACAAUGAAAGUAAAAGUUGGGACCUCUGUCGUGGAGGGCACCGACGCCCGGACCAGACCUUCUGUGACGGCUCUGCGGUAGAGCGUGUAUGUUGGGACCCGAAAGAUGGUGAACUAUGCCUGAAUAGGGUGAAGCCAGAGGAAACUCUGGUGGAGGCUCGUAGCGAUUCUGACGUGCAAAUCGAUCGUCAAAUUUGGGUAUAGGGGCGAAAGACUAAUCGAACCAUCUAGUAGCUGGUUCCUGCGAU